rnacentral:rRNA from 1 species
UGGGGAAUUGUUCGCAAUGGGCGCAAGCCUGACGACGCAACGCCGCGUGGAGGAUGAAGAUUUUCGGAUCGUAAACUCCUGUCGAAUGGGACGAAUGGCCUGGCCGUGAACAGCGGCCGGGAAUGACGGUACCGUGAGAGGAAGCCCCGGCUAACUCCGUGCCAGCAGCCGCGGUAAUACGGGGGGGGCAAGCGUUGUUCGGAAUUACUGGGCGUAAAGGGCUCGUAGGUGGCCGCCUAAGUCCGACGUGAAAUCCCUCGGCUCAACCGGGGAACUGCGUCGGAUACUGGGUGGCUUGAAUCCGGGAGAGGGACGUGGAAUUCCAGGUGUAGCGGUGAAAUGCGUAGAUAUCUGGAGGAACACCGGUGGCGAAGGCGGCGUCCUGGACCGGUAUUGACACUGAGGAGCGAAAGCCAGGGGAGCAAACGGGAUUAGAUACCCCGGUAGUCCUGGCCCUAAACGAUGAGUGCUUGGUGUGGCGGGUAUCGAUCCCCGCUGUGCCGGAGCUAACGCGUUAAGCACUCCGCCUGGGGAGUACGGUCGCAAGGCUG